rnacentral:lncRNA from 1 species
AGGGAUAAUCCGGUAAUUCUUGUGGGACGUAAGCUUAAAGUCGGCUGGAACCAAAUCUGGCCUUUGCACCAACACAGAGUGUGUGUCGAUCGAUUAUCGUCUUCAAUCAUCAACCGCUGGGCUGUUCGAUGGUCAGCUACGGGUCUUUAUCAUUUUAUCUCCAAAAUGCACUAAAAUCACCACUUUUCUCCAAAUCACUCCAAAACCUGAAAACAUACUAAAAAGACUUUAAAACAACUAUAAUAUAUUUAAAAACACUUAUCCAUGGCUAAAAAUGGGUAAAAUUCAUGGUAUAUCAACUAGCCGUAAUGCACAAGUCAUAGCAGACAUACUGUCAUGGACGAGCCAUUAUAUAAAAACCCGUCA